AAUGAACGCUGGCGGCGUGCCUAACACAUGCAAGUCGAGCGAGAAAGUCCCCUUCGGGGGGCGAGUAAAGCGGCGCACGGGUGAGUAACGCGUGGGUAACCUGCCCUUGAGUGGGGGAUAACCAGCCGAAAGGCUGACUAAUCCCGCAUACGACCGGCAGACACAAGUCUGUCGGGGAAAGAUGGCCUCUGCUUGCAAGCUAUCGCUCUUGGAUGGGCCCGCGUUGGAUUAGCUAGUUGGUGGGGUAACGGCCUACCAAGGCUGCGAUCCAUAGCUGGUUUGAGAGGACGACCAGCCACACUGGAACUGAGACACGGUCCAGACUCCUACGGGAGGCAGCAGUAAGGAAUAUUGGGCAAUGGUCGAAAGACUGACCCAGCCAUGCCGCGUGCAGGAUGAAGGCCCUAUGGGUUGUAAACUGCUUUUAGCCGGGAAUAAACACCCGUUUUAUAACGGGCCGAAGGUACCGGCUCGAAUAAGCAUCGGCUAACUCCGUGCCAGCAGCCG
rnacentral:rRNA from 1 species